rnacentral:rRNA from 1 species
CACUCCUACGGGAGGCAGCAGUGGGGAAUUUUGGACAAUGGGCGAAAGCCUGAUCCAGCAAUGCCGCGUGUGUGAAGAAGGCCUUCGGGUUGUAAAGCACUUUUGUCCGGAAAGAAAUCCUUGGCUCUAAUACAGUCGAGGGAUGACGGUACCGGAAGAAUAAGCACCGGCUAACUACGUGCCAGCAGCCGCGGUAAUACGUAGGGUGCGAGCGUUAAUCGGAAUUACUGGGCGUAAAGCGUGCGCAGGCGGUUUGCUAAGACCGAUGUGAAAUCCCCGGGCUCAACCUGGGAACUGCAUUGGUGACUGGCAGGCUAGAGUAUGGCAGAGGGGGGUAGAAUUCCACGUGUAGCAGUGAAAUGCGUAGAGAUGUGGAGGAAUACCGAUGGCGAAGGCAGCCCCCUGGGCCAAUACUGACGCUCAUGCACGAAAGCGUGGGGAGCAAACAGGAUUAGAAACCCUAGUAGUCCCA